AGUCGAGCGGAUGAAGAGAGCUUGCUCUCUGAUUCAGCGGCGGACGGGUGAGUAAUGCCUAGGAAUCUGCCUGGUAGUGGGGGACAACGUUUCGAAAGGAACGCUAAUACCGCAUACGUCCUACGGGAGAAAGCAGGGGACCUUCGGGCCUUGCGCUAUCAGAUGAGCCUAGGUCGGAUUAGCUAGUUGGUGAGGUAAUGGCUCACCAAGGCGACGAUCCGUAACUGGUCUGAGAGGAUGAUCAGUCACACUGGAACUGAGACACGGUCCAGACUCCUACGGGAGGCAGCAGUGGGGAAUAUUGGACAAUGGGCGAAAGCCUGAUCCAGCCAUGCCGCGUGUGUGAAGAAGGUCUUCGGAUUGUAAAGCACUUUAAGUUGGGAGGAAGGGCAUUAACCUAAUACGUUAGUGUUUUGACGUUACCGACAGAAUAAGCACCGGCUAACUCUGUGCCAGCAGCCGCGGUAAUACAGAGGGUGCAAGCGUUAAUCGGAAUUACUGGGCGUAAAGCGCGCGUAGGUGGUUUGUUAAGUUGGAUGUGAAAGCCCCGGGCUCAACCUGGGAACUGCAUUCAAAACUGACAAGCUAGAGUAUGGUAGAGGGUGGUGGAAUUUCCUGUGUAGCGGUGAAAUGCGUAGAUAUAGGAAGGAACACCAGUGGCGAAGGCGACCACCUGGACUGAUACUGACACUGAG
rnacentral:rRNA from 1 species